rnacentral:rRNA from 1 species
CCUACGGGAGGCAGCAGUGGGGAAUAUUGCGCAAUGGACGAAAGUCUGACGCAGCGACGCCGCGUGAGGGAUGAAGGUUUUCGGAUCGUAAACCUCUGUCAGGAGGGAAGAAAGCGCAGGGCGCCAAUCAGCCAUGCGUUGACGGUACCUCCAAAGGAAGCGCCGGCUAACUCCGUGCCAGCAGCCGCGGUAAUACGGAGGGCGCGAGCGUUAAUCGGAAUUACUUGGCGUAAAGCGCGCGUAGGCUGUUGUGUAAGGUGGGGGUGAAAGCCCACGGCUCAACCGUGGAACUGCCGUUGAUACUGCGCGCCUUGAGUCCGUGAGAGGGGGGCGGAAUGCCAGGUGUAGCGGUGAAAUGCGUAGAUAUCUGGAGGAACAUCGGUGGCGAAGGUGGCCACCUGGA